AUACUAAGCCAUGCGAGUCAUUGUAGCAAUACAAGGCAUACGGCUCAGUAACGCGUAGUCAACCUAACCUAUGGACGGGAAUAACCUCGGGAAACUGAGAAUAAUUCCCGAUAGAACAUUAUACCUGGAAUGGUUUAUGUUCCAAAUGAUUUAUCGCCGUAGGAUGGGACUGCGGCCUAUCAGUUUGUUGGUGAGGUAAUGGCCCACCAAGACUAUUACAGGUACGGGCUCUGAGAGGAGUAGCCCGGAGAUGGGUACUGAGACACGGACCCAGGCCCUAUGGGGCGCAGCAGGCGAGAAAACUUUGCAAUGUGCGAAAGCACGACAAGGUUAAUCCGAGUGAUUUGUGCUAAACGAAUCUUUUGUUAGUCCUAGAAACACUAACGAAUAAGGGGUGGGCAAGUUCUGGUGUCAGCCGCCGCGGUAAAACCAGCACCUCAAGUGGUCAGGAUGAUUAUUGGGCCUAAAGCAUCCGUAGCCGGCUCUGUAAGUUUUCGGUUAAAUCUGUACGCUCAACGUACAGGCUGCCGGGAAUACUGCAAAGCUAGGGAGUGGGAGAAGUAGACGGUACUCGGUAGGAAGUGGUAAAAUGCUUUGAUCUAUCGAUGACCACCUGUGGCGAAGGCGGUCUACUAGAACACGUCCGACGGUGAGGGAUGAAAGCUGGGGGAGCAAACCGGAUUAGAUACCCGGGUAGUCCCAGCUGUAAACUAUGCAAACUCAGUGAUGCAUUGGCUUGUGGCCAAUGCAGUGCUGCAGGGAAGCCGUUAAGUUUGCCGCCUGGGAAGUACGUACGCAAGUAUGAAACUUAAAGGAAUUGGCGGGGGA
rnacentral:rRNA from 1 species